rnacentral:misc_RNA from 1 species
AGCCAGCAUCGAAAAUCUGUUUGUUUUGAGCAAAAAAUGGGAUCUGUUUCUUUGAAAAUAGGUGAUGGAACUGCUAGAUUCAAGAAAGCUACAUAUUGUUCUUCAGUUCUAAAUCUACUUAUGCUUUUCUCUGUUGUUACAACUAAUCUUUUUGCUUUAUAUGCUUUUACAUCCUCACCCAAAAACCCCCAUCAUCAUCUUCUUCUCCCACAUACUCACAAGAACAUAUCUUUAAUCUCAGAACAAGUUUCUUUAAUUCUAAGACAGAUUGAUUCUUCACAAAAAAAACUUGCCCAAAUGGAAAAAGAGCUUUUAGGCUAUGAAAGUUUUGAUCUUUCUAGUCCCAAAGUUCCAAAUGAAGUGAGAAAUUUCUUGCAACCCCAUUUGCUGCCUUUGGGUAAAGAUUCAAGAACUGGGAUU